rnacentral:rRNA from 1 species
GACAAACGCUGGCGGCAUGCCUAACACAUGCAGGUCGAACGGACAGAACAGGGAAGCUUUUCGGAGUGGAACUGGAAAGUUAGUGGCGGAUGGGUGAGUAACGCGUGGACAACCUACCUUGUAAAGGGGAAUAACCUCGAGAAAUCGAAGCUAAUACCCCAUAAUAACCUUGCUUCGCAUGAAGUAAGGAGGAAAGGCGGCCUUAGCGCUGUCGAUACAAGAUGGGUCCGCGUCUGAUUAGCUAGUUGGUGAGGUAAAGGCUCACCAAGGCGACGAUCAGUAGCCGGCCUGAGAGGGUGAACGGCCACAUUGGGACUGAGACACGGCCCAAACUCCUACGGGAGGCAGCAGUGGGGAAUCUUCCGCAAUGGGCGAAAGCCUGACGGAGCAAUGCCGCGUGAGUGAAGAAGGCCUUCGGGUUGUAAAACUCUGUCCUUAUCGAAGAGAGAGUGUUGUAGUAACUGACAAUACUAGGACGGUAGAUGAGGAGGAAGCCCCGGCUAACUAUGUG